rnacentral:SRP_RNA from 1 species
GCCUGGUGUGGUGGCCCACACCUGCAUUCCCAGCUAUUGGGGAGGCUGAUGUGGGGGGGGAUCACUUGAGCCCAGGGCUUCUGGGCUGCAGAGCACUAUACUGAUCAGGUGCCCACACUAAGCUUGGUGUCAAAAUGGAGGGUCUCCUGGGGAGCGGGGGACAACCGAGUUGCCUGAGGGGGAGGGGUGAACCAGCCAGGCCAGAGAUGGGUCAGGUCAAAACUCCUGUGCUGCUCAGUAGUGGGACUGCACUUGCGAAUAGUCCCUGCACUCCAGCCUGGGAGACAUAGCCAGACCCUGUCUCUU